rnacentral:rRNA from 1 species
AGCCGCCACGGUAAUACGGAGGGUGCAAGCGUUACUCGGAAUCACUGGGCGUAAAGGACGCGUAGGCGGAUUAUCAAGUCUCUUGUGAAAUCUAACGGCUUAACCGUUAAACUGCUUGGGAAACUGAUAAUCUAGAGUAAGGGAGAGGCAGAUGGAAUUCUUGGUGUAGGGGUAAAGUCCGUAGAUAUCAAGAAGAAUACCUAUUGCGAAGGCGAUCUGCUGGAACUUAACUGACGCUAAUGCGUGAAAGCGUGGGGAGCAAACAGGAUUAGAUACCCCAGUAGUCCCUGUCUCUUAUACA